UAGGAGGCAAGCGUUAUCCGGAAUGACUGGGCGUAAAGGGUGCGUAGGUGGUUUGGCAAGUUGGUAGCGUAAUCCCGGGGCUCAACCUCGGUGCUACUACCAAAACUGUUGAACUUGAGUGCAGGAGGGGUGAAUGGAAUUCCCAGUGUAGCGGUGGAAUGCGUAGAUAUUGGGAAGAACACCAGCGGCGAAGGCGAUUCACUGGACUGUAACUGACACUGAGGCACGAAAGCGUGGGGAGCAAA
rnacentral:rRNA from 1 species